rnacentral:rRNA from 1 species
UACGUAGGGGGCAAGCGUUGUCCGGAUUUAUUGGGCGUAAAGCGCUCGCAGGUGGUUCGUUGCGUCGUGCGUGAAAGACCCCGGCUCAACUGGGGAGGGUCGUGCGAUACGGGCGAACUGGAGGCCAGUAGGGGGAUGCGGAAUUCCGGGUGUAGUGGUGGAAUGCGUAGAGAUCCGGAGGAACACCAGCGGCGAAGGCGGCAUCCUGGACUGGUCCUGACACUGAGACACGAAGGCCAGGGGAGCAAACGGG